GUGGUUUUCUAAAAGUAUGGCAGUUGCAGAAUGCAUCCUUCAAAGCACCUGCUAGAAAGCAUUUCCUGGAAGGAUUUGGUGGGUCUUCUUGAUAAAAGACCCCCAUAUUGGAGAAGCAAGAUUUUCUGGUGUAAAGACAAAGAUAGAAGAGAGCACAAGACACUCCAACUAAUGAUGUUGAACUGCACUAGAGAUUCCCAGCACAAAGCUCACACUUAGAAAAUUGAUUGCCGUACUUGUGGCACUUCCAUUAUUAAAGCUCAUGUGAGGAGAAGAGUACGAAAAACAAACAGCUGAUCUUCAAAAGUUUGGUCUCAAUCUGGUAUGAUGUCCACAUACCAAGUUCGCUCGUUUUAAAUGAAGAAGUUAAUUAGUCUGUUUCUUUUCAUAAAUGCUCUAUUUAGUACUUAGGGUCGUUUCGCUUUUAAAUCAGUUCCACCUGAUCGUAUUGAUGAAAAACGAACUGAAAAUUGAUGAUAUCCAGACUGUUACUAUCAAGAGAGAGGAGGGGGAAAAAAAUACACACACACACACCGAGAUUAACCAUUAAUUUUUCCCAAAUCGAACUAUUAGAUGUUUUCCCGAAUUGUAUCUGCAGUUUUUUCCAUCAUUGGAUUGUAAACAACGUUAGUGGUAGAUGGUGCGCAAUAAAGUUGAGACUCACUUUUUGAGAAAA